CCAUCUUCAGGUUAUUCUAAUUUAAGUAAUUGUUUAAUGAGUCAGGAGAAGACUGAUUCUUAGCUUGAACAUUCAAGUGUGAUGUGAGAGGCUGGGUCUGGCUUUGUUUGGUUGCAGAUUCUUCUUCCUCACGUUGCUGAGUACGAUAUGUUACGACCUUCAGUACCUUUCCUGUGUCUUUUAAGGAUUUCCUCAGCCAGGGAACACAUUCGUUGUUUUAAGAGUAACUGUAAAGAAUCUGCAAGAGCUUCCAUCACCCAUCGAUAGAAGAAUUAAACUUUGCUGCACUCCAGCUAGCUAGGUUUGAGAGCAGAGCCUUGCAGCUCUGACCACAAUGUGUGGCGAACACUUCAUAGGCAGUCGUUGUCCCAGAGAACCUGGCCAUUCAGGCAGAUGGAGGACUGGAGGGGAAAGAGACACUGUCAGAAGAAGCGUUGUGGGGUGCAGCAAGAGAAGGAUGGAGCUGUGACUGCCAAGUCAGGGGCAGUUUUUCAGUUGGCACAAAAAAAUCAAUAAUAAUUUUAACUGAAUAAAUACUAAUUUUGUUUCCAGGACAAAAAGAAUAGUUAGUAUGAAGAAUGUGUAAAUUUCCUGUGUAUUUCUAGUGAAUAUUUAAUAUAAUGCAAUUAGAGGAUGGCUAAGAAUUAUAUGGCUUUUAAAAACCAACAAAUAAAUGGACUCCUGUUUUCAUGAUAUGAUUCACCCAUCUACAAUUACUUCUGAAAUUCGAGUUAGAAAGCAAGAUCUGAAAUGUCUAAACCUGUUUCAGAACGUUGUGCUUAUGCUCAGUAUGCAUCACCUGGGCUCAGGGCGGGACACCAGAGGUGUGCAUCUUGCAUAUAGAUCAAGCCAUAUAAACAGUGCUAUCUAAGAUAACGUGGCAUUCAUUAAGAACCAGGAAGACUUUUUUUAAAAAAUAACUGUUUUGCAACAAAUUAUGUGGCUUAGUGUUGCAGAAAGUUUGUCAGACACAGAGUAUAUUAUGCAAAAGUACCUGGUUUACCUGAUAUGAACUUCUGUAUCUGGAAGGAGUACAGCUAUGUCAAUCUGCUGUUCUGCUUGGGCUAAUUUAUCUUAAUUUAGAUUUAGCCUGACUAUUCCAACGCAG